CAAUAGCGUAUAUUAAAGUUGUUGCAGUUAAAAAGCUCGUAGUUGGAUUUGUGGUUCGUCCCGCCGACUGGGUCAUUGACUUUUGCUGUGCUGGUCGUCCAUCCUUGGGUGGAAUCUGUGUGGCAUUAGGUUGUCGCGCAGGGGAUGCCCAUCGUUUACUGUGAAAAAAUUAGAGUGUUCAAAGCAGGCUUAUGCCGUUGAAUAUAUUAGCAUGGAAUAAUGAUAUAGGACCUUGGUACUAUUUUGUUGGUUUGCGCAUCGAGGUAAUGAUUAAUAGGGACAGUUGGGGGUAUUCGUAUUCCAUUGUAAGAGGUGAAAUUCUUGGAUUUUUGGAAGACGAACUACUGCGAAAGCAUUUACCAAGGAUGUUUUCAUUAG
rnacentral:rRNA from 1 species